UACGUAGGGGCAGCAGUGUCGGAUUCGAUUGGUGCGUAAAGCGCGCGCAGGCGGUCCUUUAGUCUGAUGUGAAAGCCCACGGCUCAACCGUGGAGGGUCAUUGGAAACUGGGGGACUUGAGUGCAGAAGAGGAAAGCGGAAUUCCACGUGUAGCGGUGAAAUGCGUAGAGAUGUGGAGGAACACCAGUGGCGAAGGCGGCUUUCUGGUCUGUAACUGACGCUGAGGCGCGAAAGCGUGGGGAGCAAACAGG
rnacentral:rRNA from 1 species